CUGAAACAAAAUUAACUUCUUGUUAAAUCCCCUUCAUCAGGGUUUUGGGGUUAAAACUCUGAAAUAAAAUUAUACACGAAACCCUUAAAAUUUUGGAGAUCUGAGAACAACAUAGUCUUUUUUCUAUUUUCUUUUGCGAAGCAGUAGCAGACAGCCUUUGUCAUUUAGUAAUUUGCUUAUAUAUUAUGUUGACAUAGGCAUAUUUUUUCUUGCUUAGCUAGCGCUUAAAAAUUCGGUUAUCGAAUUAGUAGAAUACAUCUUCAUAUAUGGAAUAAAGCCAAACUUAGUGCAUAAGGACCUACCGUUUCAGCUGUUCUCAGAUAUCACUUUUUUGUUUUACCUAAUCAUUCUGUGUGACUUUUGGUCUUGAAUAUGAAGGCUGUUGAAAUGUACUCCAUAUUUGUUAUGCACAAAUCGCCGGGGUUAUGGGCUACCUUAUACCUUAUUGCAUCAAGGGUGAUUUGAUCGAGGGUCUCGGUCUUUAGAAUGUUUCCAUUAUCAUUACACCACGGUCCUUUGGACUUUGGUUGGCUGUUUUUGUAUGUAUAAUCUGAAAAUUCAAAAUUGAUCUGGUAACACUCUAUAGCAAUUCAUGUUGGACCUGUUUUUUGCAAUUUCAAUUUAGAUUUCCCAAUGUGCAAUAGAAGACUGAGCUUGAUCCAUGUGAUAAAUCUGCUGAAUUGUUUCAUGCAAAGUCUUUAAAUUGGGAUAUUUUAUUUGAGUAAACGCUAUGUAAACCAAUUUAAAUGUUUUUUCAAAGUGUAGUUCACUGUAUGCACUGCCUGUGAAUUUGAUCCUUUCACCAAUACAGAAUGUCUGUCAGACAAAAAUGACUUUCCUUGAAAAAACCUUCUGUUGUUGCCAGUUCAAUGUCUGGGCUUAUUUUCCAGAUUGAACCCAUAAGUUGUGAUUUGAUCAGGGAGAAUCAACUUUCAUUUGGAUGAACUAAUGAUAUUUGAAGCAACCAAUUGACAUCUGUAAUUGUUCAAGAAAAUUAUCUUGAAUAUUGCCAAGAAAUAACAGAAAACCAGGAGAUUGUUGACCAUAUGUAUCUUCCUGCACAGCACAUUGCUGGAUGACCCACAAAAGCUGCAAUCUCUAAGGUGGACUUGAGUUAAAAUCUAAUAAGUAAUAACUAAGGGCGAGACAAAUGUCAGCAAUGCCUUUGAUUGGGCCCCCGCACAGUUUUUCUGCUUUACAUUCCCUAAUAGACUAUUCUCUACUUCUUCUGUAUAAGGUAAGUCAUGGAAUCUAAACUAAGAUCCCUGUUGUCCUUUAAGUUAAGACAUGGAAUCUUAAACUAAAUUUAAAACAUGGGCAGGAAGUUAUCGAAUCAUUCAGCAGUGGUUGAGAAUGCAGUCAAUGCUUGUAAGUUGUGUUCAUUUCAAUCCAGAGCUUAGGUACCAACCACCACGGGUAGCAAUUCUGAUGCAGAGCAUCCAUAAUUUCCCUUGCUAUUUUUGGUUCUGAUCGUGGAGAUGCGGAUUAGCUAAUGUUGGCUUUGCUUUUGUGGUUGUUUGAGUCGGUGUUUCCAUUUUGCUCAGCUACUCAUGAUUAUGUAACUGCUGUUUUGGUUUGUCCAUUUUGGUUUUGUGUAGUGGUCUAGCGGAUAGUUGCCGGCAUGACUGGCGAGCUAUUUUUAGGAGAAGUGUUUUUUGUUUUAAAGAGGGGUCUGAGAAGUGGGGGAGGUGGUGAUAAGAUUGGAGGCAUGAAAACAGAGACCAAGACUGGAACAAUUCUGGAGAUGUUUUUCUCCCAUUUUUGUGCUGUAUUUUUUGUCAAUGGUUCAAGUAAAAAAUAAUAUUAUAUUUACUUUGUUCAAGGAUUCCAACGUCUGAUUUUUCUCUAGUCAUUUCUUUUCCGGGUUAUUUGUUUUAAUUGCUGCAGAUUAAUCUAUCGCACCUUGUUUUGAGCUGCAUCAGUUUUUGGUAUCAGAGCAAAUAGAUCCACAUGAGAGGAUGUUGGCAUGAAAGCUGUGUAAGGAAUACUGCUAUGAGAGCUCUGUUUUGGUUUGUUUAAGUUCUGUUAUGUUUCUAUGGUUAAAAAGGGGAAGCAUGGGCACUUACAUGGAUAGUUGCAAAUGGUCAGGGGAGCUUAGACUGUGGAAGUAUUAUUAAAAUAUGAUUAAGUUCUGUUAUGUUUCUAUGGUUAAAAAGGCGAAGUAUGGGCACUUACAUGGAUAGUUGCAAAUGCUUAGGAGAGCUCAGACUGGAAGUAUUAUUAAAAUAGGUACAAAUAAGCUCUGAAUCAAGGAGAGAAUGAAUCUGAUUCAAAAAGAGCAGCUGUAUACGAGUUGUUAUUUUAAUAGUGUAAUUAAUUGUUGUUUUUCAUUUGGAAUGGUUGCGUUUACAGUGUUGCCACAUCCUAUGUUCUGCUAUGUUUCUAUAGUUCCAGUUUACAUCCUAUGCUGUAGGAAACCAAAAUUUCAAUGUCUAUGAAGAAGAGGGGAGAUGAAAUCUUUAUGACAAAAGUGUAUCACGAGUUUAAAAGAUUGAUGCAAUGUUGUUGUUGUAAACAACAAUGUGCAAAAGGGGAGAGCUGUGAGGAAACAAGGAGGGUUAGUUGUUUGUUUGAGCUUUGGCUGUGAAGUCAAAUAUGGAGCUAGAUUAUAAUGUAAGAAAAAGGAUAAUCAGGGUGGAAGAGAAGAUAAGACAAAGGCAAAGGCAGAAGCUAACAAAGGACCAACAAAAAGAGUUGCAAAAUUAGAGGUUGAGUUGGAAGAGUUAUGGUGCCUAUUGGAGGAAUGUGAGUUAUGCGACAAUAAGAAAGCAAGGAAUAAUAAAUUUACAGCAAAGAUGUUGAAGACUUACGAGAAGGUGAAAAAGAAUGGUGAAGAUAAAUACUCGCCUUGUAAGCAAGAGCCAUUUUCAGAGAGCAAAGCCAUUGAGUUAAGAAUUAGCCAAGGGGUGGAAUUGUUAGAACAAGGAAAUAAUAAAUCUUUUGAAGAGUUGGCAAAAAUAUUAGUGGAUAGAAGACCCUUAAAUGUGGUGUUCCAAGAGUUACAGAGAGCACAAAUAAAUGAAUGGGACAAAGAUAAAGAGAUAGAUGAAUGGGAUACAGAUGAAGAGAUAGAUGAGUUUAACGGAGCUGUUGAGCUGUGUUACCCAAGAGAAGGGGAAGACAUUGAAGAUUACAAUGCAAAAGAGAAGAGUUGGAAGACUAUAAUGAGAAGGAAUGCAGCCAAUCACAAGAGGAUGCCUAAAAUGUUGUAGUAGUGGAAGCAGUCCACGUUGGAGAGGAAGCUGCGGUAGAGAUGGAGGUCUUUGGGAGCUCCAUAUGUGAUGAAGAUUUAAUGUUUUUAGAGAAGACUAUUUGUUAGAAACAACUAGAAGAAUGUUUAGAGAAUUCGACUAGUGAUGAAAAUGGAGUAAAAGAUCAACACUUCUGUAAGGAGGGAACAAGGAUAAUUGAUGGAGAGAGCAGUUAUAUGUUUAGUUAUGGCAUAAAGGACAAUGUCCAAAAGGAUUUGACUAGUGAACCACAUCACACUGAGCUAAGAUAUAAGUCCAGCUCACAAAAUAUGAAAUGGAAAGCAUGCUUAAAUGGCAUAAUGCACAUAAGGAGAAAGUAUUUAAGGGAAUCUUUUAUUCCCUUAACUUUAUUCUGUUUUUAAUGAUUUAUGUGCUGAUGUAAUAGGAGCCCAUAGGAAUGAUGCAAAGAGCAAUGAUGAUUUACAAUGGAGGACUACUAAGCCUUCGAGGGGCUGGGAAAAGAGAAAAGGAACAUAUUGGCAUAGGAGGAUGAUAUUUGUUGCAACAAGAGGUUGGAAGCAAAGAAAAAAAAAUGUGAUGAUUUGCAGAAAUAUCUAAGCUAGUGGAAGGGAACAACAUGGCUUGAUUCUCCAAGUCAAAAAGAUAGCUUUUGGUAAUAGUAAUCUAUUUAAGUUCUCCAAUUCGGGCACUUCUGAACUGGGAGGUUUAGAAACUUUCAAAGAUGGGGAUGAUGAUGCAGAGCAUCCACAAUUUCCCUUGCUAUUUUUGGUUCUGACCGUGGAGAUAAGGAUUAGCUAAUUUUGGCUUUCCUUUUUGUGGUUGUUGUUUCCAUUUUGCUCAGCUACCAAUGAUUUUGUUACCGCUGUUUUGGUUUUGUGUAGUGGUCUAACGGGUAGUUGUUGGCAUGACUGGUGAGCUAUUUUUAGGAGAAUUUUUUUUGUUUUAAAGAGGGGUCUGGGCAUAGGGGGAGGUGGUGAUAAGAUUGGAGGCAUGAAAAAAGAGACCGAGACGGGGGACAGUUUUGGAAAUGUUUUUCUCUCAUUUUUGUUCUGUAUUUUUUGUCAAUGGUUCAAGGAAAUAAUAAUAUUAUAUUUACUUUGUUCAAGGAUUCCAAUAUCUGAUUUUGCUCUUGAUGCAGCCAUAACCGGUAAAACCCUCAAAGAGAGUCAACCAGGUUAUGCAGCAAGAGCAACACAACGAAAGCAGCAAGAAAAAAUAACCAGAUUACAUAAACAGCUCAUAUUAUUGCUUUAGAACUUCCGGCAAUCAUCCGGCUAUCAUCAAAGAACAUCUGACAAUUAACUGGUUACAUGCAGGCUAUCAGCCAGAUACAAUCCAAUCUGGGACUCUAGGAAUCAAUCAAAUCACAAAAUGCGAAUCUCAAUCCUUAUUCUCAUUUCUACUUCCUCUACCCCUACAAAUGAUUACAUAACAUCAUAUUUAUACCCAUUGGAACAUAUCGGGGUCGGCCUCAUAAGAUUACAUUUACCAAUGCAGGAUAACGAAACGUGUAAAUAGGUCGGCCCUAAAAUUAAAGAAAUCUUUUCGGAAAAUAACAACCACGAAAUGCGGUUCUGCAGGAAGGUCGGCCACACGCCAAAGAACAUCGGACAAGACUCGAAAUAGAUCCACACGCCAAGAAUCGCGCCGGUAAUAAAGAAAAACCAACCGGUAAGCACAAGAACUGUCCUGGAACCUAGAAACAGUCAACCAGAAGUGAUAACUGACCGGAAACGAACCAAAAUGAACUGAAAAUCUGGAAUUAAGCACAUGAAACCGCUUGGAAACCGAAAAUAAGGUCUGCCACGAAAAACAAGCAACUACCGGUGCCAACCGGUAAGAACACAGAAAACUGCAUAAAGAAUUAAACAAAAACAAAACUAAAAGGAAAUAUUUUUGGUUGAUGCAAGAUUGCUCAUCGAUUGGGGAUGCUCCUGCAUCAGCUCUAGUCAUUUUUGUUCUGGGUUAUUUGUUUUGAUUGCUGCAGAUUAAUCUAUCACACCCUGUUUUGAGCUGGUGUCUAGCCGCCCAUAGCCAUUGUAUGAGUUUUGUAUAGGCAUAACUCCUCCUUGUUGGGUGAUAAUGAAAUCAAUCUGAAAAAAAUAUCAGGGAACACUUGUUAGGAAGAUGAGCAGCACAUUUGAAAUUACUUGGCUUUUGAUGACAAUUUUGGUGGAGGUAGAAAAUUCAAGUGCAUAUACUUCAUCUAGUGAAUAGUUGCCUUUUUGGAUGUUCGUUUAUUUUCAUAACUUUAUGUGAAGUAAUGCAUGAAUUCUCUCUUUGCAUUGAUAAGGCCCAAAAUGAGCACUUUCUUGUACAAUACUGCCUUGCUUAAUUCUUCAACAGUGAAAGCGCAAGGAAAAUUCUUAAAAAAUGGUGGCUGGUCACAUAUCUAAUGAUUUCACAUUGUACUUGCUGGUGAUGUUACUCUUCAAUAGAAUUAGAGAUGGCAAGGAGAACAAGGAUCUCAAGUGUCUUUUUGCGAGAAAGGGUGUUCUGCACUACAACUUGUAGAGAGAGGGCAUGUAUUACAUUGAAUGGAACCAUAGACUUGGACUUAGCGUGGACUCGGCAAAGUGAAAAACCCAAGAAAUUUAGGGAUUUUUAAGGAUUUAAAACUUAUUUCAUGUACCCUUUAUUUAAUAAACCUUCAAGGCACGAUAACAUCAUCAAAUAGAAGCUAAUUUGAUCACAUACACAAGUAUACAUCGAUCACAUAAGUAUAAACACAAAUUGUAGUUGAAGGAAGUAGCAAACUUAGAUAUAUAAAUAUUGUCAAAUGUAUACAAAACUCAUGGAAUAUAAAAUCCAUGACAUCAAAUGUUCCACACAAAUAUCAAAACAAUAAGAACAAGUCUAUGGCUUAAAGGAGGCUGCAUCCCUCCUACAAAGACGUCUAAGGUAGGUCUUGGAUGAUUCAACAGCCAUAGUCUUUGUCCAUGACUCCAUGCCACCCUCGCCAACAUUAGCUGUGCUUGCGUGUACUCGUGCUCUAACCUCCUCCUAUGCCAUGACUACAACUUCAACCUCUCUAUUUGCUUGGUCAAUGCAAUCAAGGUCCUCAUCACUAAAGACAUGAUCCAUAGCCUCAGCGAUCCACACAAGGUGUUAGAUGUGAGAAAAACCCACGAUAGAAGGGGUGCGGGGAAACGUGCGUUUCCCCGCAGUCUGGAAGUGGGGGUUUGGGGCCUAUGCCCCCUAUAAAUUUUUUUUUUGGACAAAAUGUCAAAAAAUUUCCUUUUUUUGUCAUUUUUUUAGAUUUUAAAAAAAUAGGCAUAAGGACUCGCCGGGUCUGAGCAGAGACCGUGAGUUCCUAGACUUGCCCACGACUCGGACGAGUCCGAGACCUGACUCGCGACUCGCCCAGUGUCACCCGACUCGCGACUCGCCGAGUCCUAGCGAGUCCAGGAACUAUGGAUUUAUGGAGCCUCCUGGAAGCCUAAGGUUUGCUAGAUGAUGCAUAUUCACCGGAACUAGCUUCCUGUCAAUAUGACACAUAUUUUUGACAAGAAUCGCAUGGUUACAUAUUUGGUGGAGUUGUUUGAUCAUCAUCAGUAGGAAAGGGGUUGUACUUUACUCUGUAAACAAUCUCCUGUGUUCCAAAACUGGAAGUUUUGAACAUGCUUGUUCUGUGGAAAUGUAAAUUAUUUUCUGUGGAGUUGUUAGAUUCUAUUGGAAGUCAAGAUUUUAGUAAGUUUCCCAUCUUUGACAGAAUUGCCAUCAAAAGGAAAAAAAUUCAAAUGCAUCACUCAGAUGCCUAACAAGCAACCCAUGGUUAAAGCAUUGGCAGACUGGUUCGAUUAUCAGCCUCCAAGCAAGGAGGUAAUCAUACUAAUUCUUAUGUAAAUGUCGUGAACUGUCCAAAACUGUGAAAGACAAGUUCUGAUCAUGCUUGUUUGUAAAAGCUCAAAUUAAAGCCCUUGGAGUUAUUUAGCUCUGUACUGGAGGAUGGGGAUAGUCAUCGACUGCAUGCCCUACCACCCUGAAAUGAUUGGUUUUAUGCUUGGAGAUUUGGGGACAUUGUUGUAUAAUGUGAUAAAGAUACUGGACCAGCCAAAUUGACAUUCAUUCUUUUAUAAACUAGCUGUUUCCAUAUUCAAGAAAUAACAGCAAAUCAGGUGGGUUGCAAAUAAUGUGUGUACUGGACAUAAAAAAUAGAUCAACACCUUGCAAAUCCUACUGAUUAAUACAAGAGGCUUGAUUGGAACAACUGGCUUGUCAAAUAAUUGUUUGAAUGACAAAAUGGUGAACACUAUUGGGUUCUCUCUCAUCUCUAGUCAAGGAGAGGGAGAAGUCCUAAUAGAAAUCCUAAUUACAUAAUAUAAUCUCUUAUGCAAACACAACAUUUGCUUGUAAAAUUAAUAUUAAUACCAUGAGAUUAGGGACAAAUCAGCCGAUAAGAUAAAGCUAAUAUCAAGUUCGGCUGAGGUCCACAAUAGACUGCACAUUUGCUUCCCAUGAAAUGGAAAUCCUCCAUUCAUCAUAUAUUUUGUUAGGAGCUUCUAUCCACUGUACUUGAUUCUUUGAAAGAUUUGGGUUGCAUCAAAGUCUAGAAUAUAUCCGUAAGCAUCCCUGGGAUGCUGAAAGUAAAUUACCUCCAUAAUCAUAGUUGUGAAAAACAUUUUCCAUAAACAAAAUGCAUCUGCAACCAAUUUUCUUUAUCUACCUUGUGCUUGCUCCUUAAAGUAAAACUCACAACCAACUUAACCUUAGACAUGAUGACCAUGUAAUUCUCCGAUGUUUGGAAAUAGUAUGAACUUAAAAGCUUUGUAGUUUGUAUAUAAUGCAAAAUUCUUAGGGGUCAAAUAGCGUCUCUUGUGAGGUACUGCUUGUACAAUUACAUAUCUCUUGGUCGUUAGUGCAAUACUUCUUUGCAUUAUAUAACUUUCCAUUCUUGUAUGUUGUGAGAAGACUUUCUUGACAAACACAAAUUUAAGAGCCAAACCUUAUCUAUGAAGGUCAGCUUGAAAAUUUUUGACAAAAGUUUGAAACAAUAAUUACUAAGGAGACUCCAAUAUAUGAACGAGGACUAUUGGUUCUGUAGGCUGCUUCCCUUGCAACUCUAGAAGAUCAUUCGUGUAUGAUUCUUGGGAAUGUUGAAACAAUUUGUUGGACAAGGGCUAUGAUCAAGUUAUAGGUGCAUUUAAGAUUUCAAUGAGAGUAGGCAACUCCACACGCUCCUAGCUAUUCAAAACCAAGGAGGGCUUAUUGAGAUCCUUUAGGACAAUUAUAGAGAAACAAGAAGGAUAACUCUAUUAUUUGUUGCUAAUUACCCCUCAUGGUAGCUUAUUGGAUUUAUGAACCUAGGAUCUCUAAACAAUAGAUAGAACACUUGGAGGAUGCAAGGUUCAACUCUAGUGAUAUCAUCUUGGAUGCCUCUUUAUGGAUAUAUCAAACACCAUUUUUUAUGAACACUUCAUUUUGAGAAGAACAUCUAAACCUAAUCUACAACCUAUGUUACACCAAGUUUUUAGGAUCGGGAUGACACUGGCUGCAUUUUUGGGACAAUGGCCCAAUGGGGGUUUGAACCUUGGUGGCCACAACAACACCACCACCACUUAACCAACACACUAUGGGAAGAACCCUAAAUAUAUAUGUUAAUAUUAAUAUAUUAAUAUAUUUUUUAUUAAAUAAAUGGGUAUUACAUAUAUUGUUUAUUUUACUAUAUUUAUUACAGAAAAACUUUAUAUAUGUAAUUUUUUGUAUGUUUUUUAUAUGGACAAAGACAAAAUGAACCCAACCCCCAAUUUUUUUUGAAUCAACCUGCAAACUGAACCGGCAAACCUGAACCCAUACCAAUACCCAGACUGGUAACACAGUUUAUCCCCUUCCAGGAUUUGGAAUUAGAAUCAUGUCUUCUUAGAGAUUUGUUUGAAAUACUGCUUUGAAGACUGUCAUGUCUUCAUCUUUUCUUUUAUAGCAUGCUUUUUGCUCUCUAACCAGCACACUGAGAGAUCAUGCAGAAAGCAACACUCUCUGUCACCUUUUUCAUUAUAACAAAUUUUGCUCUUGCCUUUUCUGUACAAGGCGUAUUAUUGUUCCUCCCACAUUGCAGAACACUCUAAUCAUGUUGCCAUUGCCUUUUCAACACAUGAGAAUAAUAUCACACAAAACAUAUAUGUAUGAUAUGCCAAUCCCAGAUUGAAACUAACCAAACACCAAUGAGAUAUGUAAACUUCUUGCCUACUUACAUCCAACCUAGCUGGUGUGUAUUUGGAUAUGACUAUUUUGGCAGAUUAAAGCGUGAAACUGCAUAAGGAUUUUCUAUUAGCCAAGAUCUGGAGUUUUGCUAUUUCCACCUUCUAGAGGACCAAAACUAUUGUGUAGUGAAAUUGGAGGCUUGCUACAGUUUCUAUAAAUAAUAUUUUAUUUUAAAAACACCCAUAUUCCAAGAUAAUAUAGAGGAUCCUAGUAAAACCAGAUAUUUCAUUGGAAAUCUGCCAAAUUAAAAAAUCCUGAUUACAAUUUGACAAUCUUUAGAAUUAUAUCUUUGUUUUAAAUUUUAAUGCAUUGAGAAACUAAUGAUCUGAGUUUAUAUAUUUUAUCAUAGGUAAACUAGUGCUGCAAUCUGAAAAAAGUUUGUAAACCAGCAAAAAUUACUAAAGGCUAUGAUACAAAAUUAAUUCCUGAUGUGUAGGUCAAAAGUCUGAGUUAAGAGCUUUGCAUAAUCAAGGCUAAUUAGCUACCUGGUAAGCAUGGCUAGAAUCUCAUUUUAGUUCUUUUGCAUAGUGUGUAUUUGUUGGCCUGAUCAUCUCCGUCUUUCAUAAACUCCUUUGUGCCUUAUUUUCAGUCAUCUGUUUGACUCCGAAAACUGUGCUACAAGGGGUUCCCUUUGAAUGAAGACGUUUCUGACAGUGACAGGCUUGCCCUCAACUGUAGGCACACAUAACAAGAACUCCUUGCCACUAGACUUAAGUUUCAACUCACCUCUUCCAAUUCCAUUUCCAUUUUCAUGUCAGUUUCAGAAUUCAAGAUGAAUGAUAUCCACGUAGAGUAAGCAGAAUUACCCUUUUUGACUUUAGAAUAUUGGUUCUUUAAUUAAUGUGCUGCCAGAGACUGAAUAGUAGCAUGUUUUCUAUUGAUUCGGCCACUCAGAAUAUAUCUCUGGGUAUUUAGGUAAGUAUUUGAUUUCAUUUCUUUCUUCUAUCGCCAUCAAUAUCAGAGGUGGCUAUUGAAAGUUUCUCACAGAAUCAAACUAUCUCAGACCUGAGAAUUGCAGGAGCAACAAAGAUAUUGAGAAAGUAGCAGGAAAUGAAUUUGCAAGGUUCUAUACUAACAGAUGUGUAUCUCCUUUGCAAGUUUGAUGAGAGACAGGAUGGCUCACACAUUUUGAAGUAACAUUCUUGAGCUCUUGGAAUAUAGUCCUGGGCAUUUAGGAGCAACAGGUGAUAAAGUAGCAGGAAAUGGAUUUGCAGUGUCCUAUACUAGAUAUAUAUCUCCUUUGCAAGUUUGAGGAGAGAUGGGAUGGCUAAUGCAUGUUCAAGUAACAUUAUUAAGCUCUCUUCUUGUAAUUAUUAGCACUGCCCAUGCCAUUAAUUUAAUGUUUGCAUAAUAAUUUUAUACUAGAUGACCCCCGAAGAGCUUAAUGAAUUUCAUGAAGUUCAUGAAUCAUGUAAUGAGCACAAGCAAGUAACAACUUUCCUAUAUUGGCUGGUUGAUCAGUACUUUUGUUGUUCUUGAAACAAUGCCAAAACAAGAUUCUGUUGAA